rnacentral:rRNA from 1 species
UACGUAGGGUGCAAGCGUUAAUCGGAAUUACUGGGCGUAAAGCGUGCGCAGGCGGUGAUGUAAGACAGGUGUGAAAUCCCCGGGCUUAACCUGGGAACUGCAUUUGUGACUGCAUCGCUGGAGUGCGGCAGAGGGGGAUGGAAUUCCGCGUGUAGCAGUGAAAUGCGUAGACAUGCGGAGGAACACCGAUGGCGAAGGCAAUCCCCUGGGCCUGCACUGACGCUCAUGCACGAAAGCGUGGGGAGCAAACAGG